rnacentral:rRNA from 1 species
AACGAACGCUGGCGGCAUGCCUAACACAUGCAAGUCGAACGAGACCUUCGGGUCUAGUGGCGCACGGGUGCGUAACGCGUGGGAACCUGCCCUUAGGUUCGGAAUAACUCCCCGAAAGGGGUGCUAAUACCGGAUAAUGUCUUCGGACCAAAGAUUUAUCGCCUUUGGAUGGGCCCGCGUUGGAUUAGCUAGUUGGUAGGGCAAAAGCCUACCAAGGCGACGAUCCAUAGCUGGUCUGAGAGGAUGAUCAGCCACACUGGGACUGAGACACGGCCCAGACUCCUACGGGAAGCAGCAGUGGGGAAUAUUGGACAAUGGGCGAAAGCCUGAUCCAGCAAUGCCGCGUGAGUGAUGAAGGCCUUAGGGUUGUAAAGCUCUUUUACCCGGGAUGAUAAUGACAGUACCGGGAGAAUAAGCUCCGGCUAACUCCGUG